rnacentral:lncRNA from 1 species
CUUCAUUGGAUGGGAAUUGGACUAAGUUAAAGGCAUGCAUGAGGUGUGCCAAGAGUUGGGUCUUCAUCGGAUUUUUUGUGCAUGGAAUAAAGGGGCUCACACCCCAUGUGGACAAGGUUCAAUGGGUGCCAAUAGUUGGCGCACCCUUGUCUUGCGUAUGAAGAAAGGAGAGGAGAGAUGGGGCGCAUGCCCCAUCUAAUUUUAUGCAUGAGAAAAGGGGGAGGGGA